GAGAGCUUUGCACGCACAGAAAGUUUCCCUAUCAAAUAGGGCACAACCAAAAUAAGACAAAAACGUUUCUUUGUUUUAAAGAGAUGGGAAGGAGUAACACAGUGGCCAGACAGACGGAAUCUAAGAAACCUCCGAAGAGAAAAAGAAAGGAACGGGCGGCGGAAUCCCCGCGGGACCGGAGACAGGCUGCAUACUCCUAAGGACUUGUUGCCAGAUUGCUCUGUCCUAGAGCCGCUCGUGAUCCCCAGCCUGUGUGGCUGUGCCUCGGCUUCUUGGCAGCCUGUGGUUCCGGUGCUUGCAUUCACGUGUCUGCAGAGGAGGCUGCAACCUGCCCCACCCCCAUUUUCUGCUCUGCCUUUUCAUUGUCCACAGGACUUAGAAACUCCCAGUAUACUAGUCAAUUCACAUAAUAAAAUAGUUACUAUUAUUAUUUUA